UGGUCGGUGAUGACGUGACCACUGCUCAAUCUGAGUUCUUAGAACCAGGUGAUGGAGUGUGGCUGAGAAUGGACUGAGACCG
rnacentral:snoRNA from 15 species